rnacentral:rRNA from 1 species
GUGAACGCUGGCGGCGUGCCUAAUGCAUGCAAGUCGAACGACACACUUCGGGUGUGAGUGGCAAACGGGUGAGUAACACGUGGGAACCUACCCUUUGAGUAGAGGAUAGCCCACCGAAAGGUGGAUUAAUACGCUAUAGUCUCGCAAGAGUAAAGCCGUAAGGCGCUUAAGGAGGGUCCUGCGUUCGAUUAGCUAGUUGGUAGGGUAAUGGCCUACCAAGGCGAUGAUCGAUAGCUGGUCUGAGAGGAUGAUCAGCCACACUGGAACUGAGACACAGUCCAGACUCCUACGGGAGGCAGCAGCAGGGAAUAUUCCACAAUGGGCGAAAGCCUGAUGGAGCGACGCCGCGUGCAGGAUGAAGGCCUUCGGGUCGUAACUGCUUUUAAUAGAGAAGAUUAUGACUGUAUCUAUUGAAUAAGGGUUUGCUAACUCCGUGCCAGCAGCCGCGGUCAUACGGGAGGACCCAAGCGUUACCCGGAAUUACUGGGCGUAAAGAGUUGCGUAGGCGGCUCGUUAAGUCUUAGCUUAAAUCUCAAGGCUCAACUUUGAGGCUGGCUGAGAUACUGGCGAGCUAGAGGGAGGCAGAGGCAAGCGGAAUUAGUAGUGUAGGGGUGAAAUCCGUAGAUACUACUAGGAACACCAGUGGCGUAAGCGGCUUGCUGGGCCUUUCCCGACGCUAAGGCACGAAAGCGUGGGUAGCGAACCGGAUUAGAUACCCGGGUAGUCCACGCCGUAGACGAUGGAUGCUGGCUGUUGGAGGAUUCGACCCCUUCGGUAGCGAAGUUAACGCGUUAAGCAUCCCGCCUGGGGAGUACGAGCGCAAGCUUAAAACUCAAAGGAAUUGACGGGGACCCGCACAAGCGGUGGAGCGUGUGGUUUAAUUUCGAUGGUACGCGAAGAACCUUACCAGGGAUUGACAUCUUUCUAAGUCCUGGGAAACCAGGAUGUACCUCGCAAGAGGCUGAAAUGACAGGUGAUGCAUGGCCGUCGUCAGCUCGUGUCGUGAGAUGUAGGGUUAAGUCCCUUAACGAGCGCAACCCUCGUUGCAAGUUACCAUGUCUUGCAAGACUGCCCCGGCAACGGGGAGGAAGGAGAGGAUGAUGUCUGGUCCGCAUUUCCCUUAUACUCUGGGCUACACACACGCUACAAUGGCCGAUACAAUGGGUUGCCAACCCGCGAGGGGGAGCUAAUCCCACCAAAGUCGGUCGUAGUUCGGAUUGCAGGCUGAAACUCGCCUGCAUGAAGCUGGAAUCGCUAGUAAACGUAGGUCAGCACACUACGUUGAAUACGUUCCCGGGUCUUGUACACACCGCCCGUCAAAGCACGAAAGUUAGUAAUACCCAAAACCUCGAUUUAUUCGUGGCUAAGGUAGGAUUAGCGAUUGGGCUU